ACAAAUCAUUGCGGGCUUCGGCUCACAUUAACCCGGCCGCAAGGCUAGGUCUAUAUGGACCUGUGUGCGUGGGCCGCGAGGCUUGCGUGCUUAGGUUCCAAAUUAACGCUUGAUUGUUUGACUGUAUGGAUGAUCAUCUAUUGAAAUUGA
rnacentral:misc_RNA from 1 species